UUGAACAAAACUGGGGUGGGUUGUUGCUGGCUUUUAGGAGCAUGUGCACGCCUAUUCCAAUUGUUUUCAACCACCUGUGCACUUUGUGUAGACCUGGAUAAUUUUCGAGGAAAUUCUUUUCUUGAUUUGAGGAUUGCUGUGUUUAAACAAGCCAGCUUUUCUUGCGUUUCAGUGUCUAUGUUUUUAUACACACACUAUUAAAAUGUAUUAGAACGUCUUUUUUGAUAGGCCUUCGUGCCUUUAAAAAUUAAAUACAACUUUCAACAACGGAUCUCUUGGCUCUCGCAUCGAUGAAGAACGCAGCGAAAUGCGAUAAGUAAUGUGAAUUGCAGAAUUCAGUGAAUCAUCGAAUCUUUGAACGCACCUUGCGCUCUUUGGUAUUCCAAGGAGCAUGCCUGUUUGAGUGUCAUAAAAUUCUCAAACUUUCUGGCUUAAUUACGAGCUAGUUAGGUUUGGACUUAUGGAGGUUUGCUGGCUUCGACAGAAAUCAGCUCUUCUAAAAUGCAUUAGCAAGAUUAUCGCUGGUCAUUCUUUGGUAUGAUAAUUAUCUGUAUCACUGAAGACCCGGCCCUCAGUUCUUGCUUCGAAUCGUCUUUGUUGAGACAAUAAUUGACAAU
rnacentral:misc_RNA from 1 species